rnacentral:lncRNA from 1 species
UUUGCCUCAAGACAUGCUACAUUAUAGCUCAGAAGCGCUCUAUCCACCCUAACACUUUCUGGUAUUCAUGCCUAGAAGUAAUCCUCCAUCACCGUCAGUUAACACUCCAAGACAAGUCUGUACAGUGACUGUACAAUGCAGCAAUGCUGCUGCUAGCAGUAGCUUCUCCACAAGACGGCUUGUGAGCCUGUAUGCAGCAGCUGCUGCAGCAGAAGCUUCGAAACAGCUCCAAACAGUUUCAUACUGGGUGCACCCAGCUGCAGCUCAUCCAUCUCUCAACAAAAUUUGCUUCAAAACAUGCUACAUCAUAGGUCACAUGCACUAUCCACCCUAACAGCUUCUGGUAAUCAUGCCUAGUAUUAGUCCUCUAUCGCCGUUAGUUAACACUACAAGACAUUGCAGCAGCAGCAGUCCUCCAUAAGCAGCUUGUGAGCCUGUAUGCAGCAAAGAUCAGGCAGGGGCAUACAGUAGCACCUUUGUCAGACCAUCAAGAACUGCAUGGCAUCUGACCGCUGAUGUGGAACUAAGAAUGCAGUUUUAUGCCACACACCUUACUCCUGCUUUAACCUUCCACUGAAUCUGCGUGCUGAUGUGUGGUGGGGAAAGCAUGUGGUGUUGUCCACAGCAGCUGCAGGUUGCUGGGUGGGCCCUGUAGACAGACAAACAUGCCCAUCAAAAGUUAAAUACACCAAACCCUGUAUAGGUGUAGCAGCUGGCCGCUGAAAAGGCCUCUCGAGAUGCUGGUGGUCGCGCUACAUGUAAUACCAGGCAAAGAGUACUCAGUUGGGAGAUGCCAGGGGAGCUGAUCCCUCUCACAUUCCUCCCCCCCUCAAGUGAACGUCCUCGGGCGCCCCCAGGCAUAUCCCGUAGGAUUUUAGGUUGUUUGAGAUCCCGUAGGAUUGUGAGUUUGUUUGUUAUUGACAUUUCGUCAGUCCCCAUCCGAGAUGGAGGACUUUGUUUUUACUCAGCUGGUAGACUUCUCACCCACCCAGGCAUCCACCUUUUGGGGAAGAAUAUGCUGCAUCUUAC